rnacentral:rRNA from 2 species
UUCGAGUUGUAAUUUGAAGAAGGUAUCUUUGGAGUUGGCCCCUGUCUAUGUUCCUUGGAACAGGACGUCACAGAGGGUGAGAAUCCCGUGCGAUGGGGAGACCAAUUCUUUGUAAAGUUCCUUCGAAGAGUCGAGUUGUUUGGGAAUGCAGCUCUAAGUGGGUGGUAAAUUCCAUCUAAAGCUAAAUAUUGGCGAGAGACCGAUAGCGAACAAGUACAGUGAUGGAAAGAUGAAAAGAACUUUGAAAAGAGAGUGAAAAAGUACGUGAAAUUGUUGAAAGGGAAGGGCUUUUGAUCAGACUUGGUGUUUAACGAUCUCUUCUCCUUGUGGGAGGGGCUCUUGUUUUAUACUGGGCCAGCAUCGGUUUGGAUGGCAGGAUAAUGACAUUGGAACGUGGCUUCAUUCGUGAAGUGUUAUAGCCUUUGUUGAUACUGCCUAUCUAGACCGAGGACUGCGUCUUUGACUAGGAUGCUGGCGUAAUGAUUAAAAGCCGCCCGUCUUGAAACACGGACCAAGGAGUCUAACGUCUAUGCGAGUGUUUGGGUGUAAAACCCGUACGCGUAAUGAAAGUGAACGUAGGUGAGGGCCCGCAAGGGUGCAUCAUCGACCGAUCCUGAUGUUUUCAGAUGGAUUUGAGUAAGAGCAUAGCUGUUGGGACCCGAAAGAUGGUGAACUAUGCCUGAAUAGG